AUCCACCAUACACCCGAAAGAAGAAGAAGAAGAAGAAGAGGAGUUCUCAGAUUUGGACGCUGCGUUGUAGGUUUGAAGAUCCAGCUGUGAUCAGCAGUUCCACACCUCUGUGCUCAGACUGCUCUGCUGGAGAAACACCAUCAGCUCACCUGCUGCAGAAAUAAAUACUAUCCUGUUUCAAGUCUUCUCAUGCCUCUGGUGUCAACUGAUAGAAUUUACCUGGAUAUAAUUUAGCUUCACAAAUACAGAUUCAGAAGAUUUCACAAAAAUAUUAAUCUGCUGAACGAAGGGGAGAAGAUGGAAUCCAGAAAAAUCUCCAAUACUCAGCCAAUAUCCUCUCCUACACCUAGCAGACAAAUGCAGAAAAGUACUGGCAAGAAAACUCACCACUGUUCAGACUGCGAAAAGAGUUUUACUACACAGAGUAAUCUACAACAACACCAGCGGGUUCACACAGGAGAGAAACCGUAUCACUGCUCAAAGUGUGGGAAGAGUUUUGCUGCACAGGGUAACCUGCAACAACACCAGCGCAUUCACACUGAAGAAAAACUCUAUCAUUGUUCAGACUGUGGGAAGAGUUUUGCUCAUAAGAGUUAUCUUAAAACACACCAACGCAUUCACACAGGAGAGAAACCGUAUCACUGCUCAAAGUGUGGGAAGAGUUUUGCUGCACAGGGUAACCUGCAACAACACCAGCGCAUUCACACUGAAGAAAAACUCUAUCAUUGUUCAGACUGUGGGAAGAGUUUUGCUCAUAAGAGUUAUCUUAAAACACACCAGCGCAUUCACACUGGAGAGAAACCUUAUCACUGCUCAGAUUGUGGGAAGAGUUUUACUACACAGGGUAUUCUAGAACACCACCAACGCAUUCACACUGGAGAGAAACUGUAUCAUUGUUCAGACUGUGGGAAGAGUUUUAAUCAUCAUCUCAAAAGACACCAACGCAUUCACACAGGAGAGAAACCGUAUCAUUGUUCAGACUGUGGGAAGAGUUUUUCUAGACUAAGUAUUCUUAAAAAACACCAGCACAUUCACACUGGAGUGAAACCAUAUCA